rnacentral:rRNA from 1 species
GUGCCAGCAGCCGCGGUAAUACGUAGGUGGCAAGCGUUGUCCGGAAUUAUUGGGCGUAAAGCGCGCGCAGGCGGCCUUUUAAGUCUGAUGUGAAAGCCCCCGGCUCAACCGGGGAGGGUCAUUGGAAACUGGAAGGCUUGAGUACAGAAGAGAAGAGUGGAAUUCCAUGUGUAGCGGUGAAAUGCGUAGAGAUGUGGAGGAACACCAGUGGCGAAGGCGACUCUUUGGUCUGUAACUGACGCUGAGGCGCGAAAGCGUGGGGAGCAAACAGGAUUAGAUACCCUGGUAGUCC